CUACGGGUGGCUGCAGUAAGGAAUAUUGCACAAUGGGGGGAACCCUGAUGCAGCAACGCCGCGUGGAGGAUGACGCAUUUCGGUGUGUAAACUCCUUUUAUAUGUCAAGAAAAUGACGGUAGCAUAUGAAUAAGCACCGGCUAACUCCGUGCCAGCAGCCGCGGUAAUACGGAGGGUGCAAGCGUUACUCGGAAUCACUGGGCGUAAAGGACGCGUAGGCGGGUUGGAAAGUCAGGUGUGAAAUCCUACAGCUUAACUGUAGAACUGCACUUGAAACUUCUAAUCUAGAGUAUGGGAGGGGGAGAUGGAAUUAGUGGUGCAGGGGUAAAAUCCGUAGAUAUCACUAGGAAUACCUAAAGCGAAGGCGAUCUCCUGGAACAUUACUGACGCUAAGGCGUGAAAGCGUGGGGAGCAAACAGGAUUAGAUACCCCUGUAGUC
rnacentral:rRNA from 1 species